ACAGAGGGCGCAAGCGUUAAUCGGAAUUACUGGGCGUAAAGGGCGCGUAGGCGGAGUAUUAAGUUAGAUGUGAAAUCCCUGGGCUUAACCUGGGAAUGGCAUUUAAUACUGAUAAUCUAGAGUAGAGUAGAGGGAAGUGGAAUUUCCGGUGUAGCGGUGAAAUGCGUAGAGAUCGGAAAGAACACCAGUGGCGAAGGCGGCUUCCUGGACUCAUACUGACGCUGAGGCGCGAAAGCGUGGGGAGCAAACA
rnacentral:rRNA from 1 species